rnacentral:rRNA from 1 species
UACGUAGGGUGCAAGCGUUAAUCGGAAUUACUGGGCGUAAAGCGUGCGCAGGCGGUGAUGUAAGACAGGUGUGAAAUCUCCGGGCUUAACCUGGGAACCGCAUUUGUGACUGCAUCGCUGGAGUGCGGCAGAGGGGGAUGGAAUUCCGCGUGUAGCAGUGAAAUGCGUAGAUAUGCGGAGGAACACCGAUGGCGAAGGCAAUCCCCUGGGCCUGCACUGACGCUCAUGCACGAAAGCGUGGGGAGCAAACAGG